CACGUAGGGGGCAAGCGUUGUCCGGAUUUAUUGGGCGUAAAGAGCUCGUAGGUGGUUCGGUAAGUCGGGUGUUAAACCCCCAGGCUCAACCUGGGGACGCCACUCGAUACUGCUGUGACUUGAGUCCGGUAGGGGAGCGUGGAAUUCCUGGUGUAGCGGUGAAAUGCGCAGAUAUCAGGAGGAACACCAGCGGCGAAGGCGGUUCUCUGGGACGGUACUGACGCUGAGACGCGAAAGCGUGGGGAGCGAACAGG
rnacentral:rRNA from 1 species